GCAAACUCAGAAUAAAAACACUCACGUCUCUCUCUCAACUCAUGUUCUGUUACUCCCACCGUCAUGCCAGAGGCGGUCCUCGGCGGCGGAGGCUCUAAAAUAUUUCUCGAAGGCGAAUCGGCGAGUUUCCUGAAGGAAUCCAGAAGUUGAGUUUUUUUUAUGAAUGAAAUCGAGAGAGGAAUUGAGAGGCUGUUUCUGGAUUUAUAGAAUGUAGAGGUUGUUAGAGGGUUGAUGAAUUCAGUUGUGAAAUUCAGUUAGAGUUGUAACUGAAUUCUGUUAGUUUGUUAGGUUUGUUAUUGUUAAUUGUUGAGUUAGUUGGUUUCUGAUUGUAGGUUAAGUGAGGUUAAUUGGAAAAUGAAAUGGAUGAAGUUUAGCUCCAUCCAAUUUCUGUUAGAUGAAACUUGUACAAUCUUAUUAUUGUUACUUGAUAAUUUCCUACUGCAUCAGUUUGUACUUCUUGUGUUAGAUUGGAUGACCGUGUUAUGAACAUUGUUGCAGGCUUUUGUAUUGUUGCUCGAUUGACUGAGUUGUUGGAUUUGCUGUUGAUGAAUGAUGCAGAAGUUUUGGUUUGUCGCUCAUAGUUUGCAAAAGUGAUUUGGUGAAUGUACGCAGGAUCUGCAGGUUGAUGUUGGUUCUGCAAUAUGAAAUUGCAGGAAAUGGUGAAUGGUAAAUUGCAUUGGUGCAUGUUUUGUGUGGUGGCUUUGACUUAAUUUUGGACUGAUAAGGUGUUUGUUGUUUCUGCAGGUUUAGGUCAUGUUACAUGUCCUGGCUUGGUUAAUUGUUGUUAUUAAAUGAUGAGUGUAUGCUGCAGAUAUGUUGCUUCUUCAUAAUGGUUGGCAUCUGGUCUGGUAUGUUCAUGGUUUUGGAGCCCUGAACAUGGUGGUCACCAAGUUGUGGUUGGAUUUGGGUUUUGUAGUUUUAGAACAUAGGAUUAUGUAUGGAAUAUGAUUUAUGGUUGUAAUUUGGAUUUGAAUGAUAUGGUUCAUGUUAAUCAUGGUUGAAUAUUGUAACUUGAAAACAAUGGUUGAAUGAAAUAUUGGAAUUAAUGGCUUAUGUAUAAAAUUGUUUGUAGUUUGAAUGCAAAAUGUAAAAUGAAAUUACAUGGUAUUAGGUCAUGUGUAUCACAAAUUUGAGUUUGGAUUUAGAAUGUAAGGUUGUAUGAUUUUG
rnacentral:lncRNA from 1 species